rnacentral:rRNA from 1 species
UCCACGCCCUAAACGAUGAACACUAGUCGUCGGAAUGCUAGCCAUUUCGGUGAUGCACUUAACAGAUUAAGUGUUCCGCCUGGGGAGUACGGUCGCAAGAUUAAAACUCAAAGGAAUAGACGGGGACCCGCACAAGUGGUGGAGCAUGUGGUUUAAUUCGAAUAUACGGGGACCUUACCUAGCCUUGACAUUGAUUGAAUUUUCCAGAGAUGGAGAAGUGCCUUUCGGGGAAC